rnacentral:rRNA from 1 species
UAAGGAAUAUUGGUCAAUGGACGCAAGUCUGAACCAGCCAUGCCGCGUGGAGGAUGAAGGCCCUCUGGGUUGUAAACUUCUUUUAUCUGGGACGAAAAAGGGACUUUCUAGUUCAACUGACGGUACCAGAGGAAUAAGCACCGGCUAACUCCGUGCCAGCAGCCGCGGUAAUACGGAGGGUGCAAGCGUUAUCCGGAUUCACUGGGUUUAAAGGGUGCGUAGGUGGGCAGGUAAGUCAGUGGUGAAAUCUUUGGGCUUAACCCGAAAACUGCCAUUGAUACUAUUUGUCUUGAAUAUUGUGGAGGUCAGCGGAAUAUGUCAUGUAGCGGUGAAAUGCUUAGAUAUGACAUAGCACACCAAUUGCGAAGGCAGCUGGCUACACAUAUAUUGACACUGAUGCACGAAAGCGUGGGGAUCAAACAGGAUUAGAUACCCUGGUAGUCCACGCCCUAAACGAUGGAUACUCGACAUACGCGAUAUACUGUGUGUGUCUGAGCGAAAGCAUUAAGUAUCCCACCUGGGAAGUACGAUCGCAAGAUUGC